AAGACUUAUUAAGCGGUAUAAAAAAAUGGUGUUUUUAUAACCAAGCGCUCAAAAAGCUGAUAAAAAACUUCUACUUAGCUGGUACUUGGGCCAUUUACUCGAGCUUUUUAUAUGUUAACUUCAACGUUCUCAAAUAUAUGGGAAGAGUGGAUGAAUGAUGAGAUUGAGAAAUAUUCAAAAGAUGUCAACCUAAUGGGUACAUAAUUCCGACCCAAAAAACCCAAAUAUUCAUUUAUGUACCUCCUUAAGAAGAGUAGAUAUAUUUUUCCAGGUUUUUUAUGAUUUUAAUUUAAUUUUUUUAUUCCAUGUAUUUAAUUUAGAAUA